CCGAAAUUCAAAGAAAAUAAAUAGAAAAAAAAAACCUAGGAACAUUCGGUCACUUGGAAGCUCAAAUUCAAGAUCAAGAAUUAAAGAAAUCGAAUUUGGAUCGGGGAAAGACAAAAGUGGUCGAGUAGCCGAUUUAACAGUCGACGAUAUCCGAGAUUUUGGAGUCGCGUUAUGAGCUCGGGGAUCGUCAGGAUAGUCUAUCACACUAUCAACCGUCUUUGGUAUUUUAUAAAUUUGAAUUUGAACCAUGGCAUGUAUAGUCUAGUUAAUAUGUUUAAUUUUGGGAUAUGUGAAUAUGAGCCAUGCGAAAAUGGCUUACUCAUUUUGGUUAAGCUUGGUUUUAUGUUUUUGAUCUAUUUGAUAUAUAUAUAUAUAUGUAUGAUGUUUAAGCUUAUGUAAAUUUAGGUUAUAUAUAUAGAAGUGUGAUGUGUUUAGCAUAUUUGUUAAUAGUUGUAUAAAUUAGUUAUAUUUAAGCCUAUUUCGA